rnacentral:rRNA from 1 species
GACGAACGCUGGCGGCGUGCUUAACACAUGCAAGUCGAACGAAGAGCGAUGGAAGCUUGCUUCUCUCAAUCUUAGUGGCGAACGGGUGAGUAACGCGUAAUCAACCUGCCCUUCAGAGGGGGACAACAGUUGGAAACGACUGCUAAUACCGCAUACGAUCUAACCUCGGCAUCGAGGAUAGAUGAAAGGUGGCCUCUACAUGUAAGCUAUCACUGAAGGAGGGGAUUGCGUCUGAUUAGCUAGUUGGAGGGGUAACGGCCCACCAAGGCGAUGAUCAGUAGCCGGUCGGAGAGGAUGAACGGCCAGAUUGGGACUGAGACACGGCCCAGACUCCUACGGGAGGCAGCAGUGGGGAAUCUUCCGCAAUGGACGAAAGUCUGACGGAGCAACGCCGCGUGAGUGAUGACGGCCUUCGGGUUGUAAAGCUCUGUUAAUCGGGACGAAAGGCCUUCUUGCGAAUAGUUAGAAGGAUUGACGGUACCGGAAGAGAAAGCCACGGCUAACUACGUG